AUGGAGAGCCAGACUGAAUUCGCAGACCCACUCUUUUCUCUGGUGACUUCAGGGCAUUCUCAGCGCUGGCGCCAAGCGCUCUUAACCAUGUGCGUCAAAAAUGCGAGGCUGGAAAAGCUUGUCGCCUCAAAAGUUCCGCCCCUAUCUCCGCGCGGUUGGCCCACAAUGGAACUGCUUUUCCACCCUCCACUUGCUCCCACUUCGGAGCCUGGGAGCUGGGGGUUUAGGAGGUACACAGGUCAGAACAUAAGAAAGGACUGUGCGGUCUACACACAAAGACGGACCCACAUCCCAAGCCUUGGGUUUCUUAACCCCCUAGGCCCCGAAAUCACCCCUUUCUCCAUUCCCUUUCCACUGGAAGAAGCUCUCACCUCAGGAAGGCACUCGACCUGUGAAAACCACGCCUAUGCAGCAACACAAUUGGUCCGAAAGCGUCAAAGAGCCAAUCAAGAGGCCUCCGGCUCCCCGCAGCCCACAGCAGAGCCCGACCUUCUAGAGCCGCCGAGCAGACGCCCGGGGAAUUCUAGAGGCGGAGGAGGGUGGCGAGGAGCUCUUGCUCGCUUUCUCUCGCUCCCUCCCUCUCCUCGCGCUCCCUCUCCCGCUCCGUGUCUCUCUCUCUCUCUCUCUCCCUCCUUUCCAUUUUUCCCCCCUAAAUCCUCCCUGCCCUGCGCGUCUGGACGCAGAUUUAGGAAGCGAAUUCGCUCACGUUUUAGGACAAGGAAGACAGGCGCGGGAGAAGAGCAGGCAAGAUUCGGAUUGAAACGCAGACACCCUCCGGAGGCUCGGAGCGGAGGAAGGAGGAGGAGGGCGAACGGAAGCCAGUUCGCAGUUCAAGUUUUGAUAGCGCUGGUAGCACAGGGCUUCAAUCAGAGAUUUUUUUUUUUUCAAGGAGAGAGACUUUUUCCGCUCGCUCCCUCGCUCGCUCGCUGUGAAAGCCGAGUCUAGCGCAACUGCAGACGCCUCCUGCGAGAAAGAGGGAGAGGAAGGGAGAUAGGGGCGGGGAAGAAGCAGAAGAAGAGGGGAAAAGUCUCCUAGGAGAAGCGUCCGCAUUUGCAACAAAGAGCUGGGGGCUGGGGAGCGGUUCCCGGGACCGAGGGCUGCAGUGUCUAUUUCGAGUUAAGCGGCAGAGCUCGGGCGCGAGCCGAGACCCUGCUCGCUCCUCUCGCCUCUGAAACCGACUUCCAGGAGCGGCUUUUUAAACACGCAAGGCACAAGGACAGUCACCCAAGCGACUAUGUCUCCUGAUUUCUCGCCUUGCCCUCUUUAAAAGCGGCAUUCUCCUCCCCAAAAGACACUUUGCCCCCCUCCCUUUGAGGUGAUUUAGCUGUGAUUUUUUUUUCCUUUCUCCUUUUUUUUUUUUUGCUUUUUUUUUUUUUUUAACUAUGUGCUGCUGUUGAAAAACAAAAACAAAACAGCAGCUGCGGACUUGUCCCCGGCUGGAGCC
rnacentral:lncRNA from 1 species